GUAUUGGUGGUUCAGUGGUAGAAUUCUUGACUGCCAUUCGGGAGGCCCAGGCUUCAUUCUUGAUCAAUGCA